rnacentral:rRNA from 1 species
GGACCCGCACAAGCGGUGGAGCAUGUGGUUUAAUUCGACGCAACGCGAAGAACCUUACCAGGGCUUGACAUCCCGCGCAAUCCAUGGAAACAUGGAGUUCUGGCCUUCGGGCCGGACGCGGUGACAGGUGGUGCAUGGUUGUCGUCAGCUCGUGUCGUGAGAUGUUGGGUUAAGUCCCGCAACGAGCGCAACCCCUACUUUUAGUUGCCAGCAUUCAGUUGGGCACUCUAGAAGAACUGUCGGUGACAAACCGGAGGAAGGUGGGGAUGACGUCAAAUCAUCAUGCCCUUUAUGUCCUGGGCUACACACGUGCUACAAUGGCCGGUACAGAGGGUUGCCAAGGGGUGACCUGGAGCUAAUCCCAAAAAGCCGGUCUCAGUUCGGAUUGCAGGCUGCAACCCGCCUGCAUGAAGUCGGAAUCGCUAGUAAUCGCGAGUCAGCAUAUCGCGGUGAAUACGUUCCCGGGUCUU